rnacentral:rRNA from 1 species
GGGUGAAAAGCCCGCUCGCCGGAAGACCAAGGGUUCCUGUCCAACGUUAAUCGGGGCAGGGUAAGUCGACCCCUAAGGCGAGGCCGAAAGGCGUAGUCGAUGGGAAACAGGUUAAUAUUCCUGUACUUGGUGUUAUUGCGAAGGGGGGACGGAGAAGGCUAGACCGGCCGGGCGACGGUUGUCCCGGUUUAAGCGUGUAGGUGUGAUGACCUGGCAAAUCCGGUCAUCUUUAACACUGAGGCGUGAUGACGAGGCACUACGGUGCUAAAGUGGUUAAUGCCCUGCUUCCAGGAAAAGCCUCUAAGCUCCAGAUAACACUGAAUCGUACCCCAAACCGACACAGGUGGUCAGGUAGAGAAUACCAAGGCGCUUGAGAGAACUCGGGUGAAGGAACUAGGCAAAAUGGUGCCGUAACUUCGGGAGAAGGCACGCUGGCAUGUAGGUGAAGUCCCUUGCGGAUGGAGCCGAAGCCAGUCGAAGAUACCAACUGGCUGCAACUGUUUAAUAAAAACACAGCACUCUGCAAACACGAAAGUGGACGUAUAGGGUGUGACGCCUGCCCGGUGCUGGAAGGUUAAUUGAUGGGGUCAGCCGCAAGGCGAAGCUCUUGAUCGAAGCCCCAGUAAACGGCGGCCGUAACUAUAACGGUCCUAAGGUAGCGAAAUUCCUUGUCGGGUAAGUUCCGACCUGCACGAAUGGCGUAAUGAUGGCCAGGCUGUCUCCACCCGAGACUCAGUGAAAUUGAACUCGCUGUGAAGAUGCAGUGUACCCGCGGCAAGACGGAAAGACCCCGUGAACCUUUACUAUAGCUUGACACUGAACAUUGAACCUUGAUGUGUAGGAUAGGUGGGAGGCUUUGAAGUGUGGACGCCAGUCUGCAUGGAGCCGACCUUGAAAUACCACCCUUUAAUGUUUGAUGUUCUAACCUGGCCCCGUGAU